rnacentral:tRNA from 1 species
AGCUCAUUGGUAGAGCACCUGCCUAGCGUGCAGGAAGCCCUGGGUUCUAUCCCAG